GGGUGACUGCGUACCUUUUGUAUAAUGGGUCAGCGACUUAUAUUCUGUAGCAAGGUUAACCGUAUAGGGGAGCCGCAGGGAAACCGAGUCUUAACUGGGCGUUAAGUUGCAGGGUAUAGACCCGAAACCCGGUGAUCUAGCCAUGGGCAGGUUGAAGGUUGGGUAACACUAACUGGAGGACCGAACCGACUAAUGUUGAAAAAUUAGCGGAUGACUUGUGGCUGGGGGUGAAAGGCCAAUCAAACCGGGAGAUAGCUGGUUCUCCCCGAAAGCUAUUUAGGUAGCGCCUCGUGAAUUCAUCUUCGGGGGUAGAGCACUGUUUCGGCUAGGGGGUCAUCCCGACUUACCAACCCGAUGCAAACUACGAAUACCGAAGAAUGUUAUCACGGGAGACACACGGCGGGUGCUAACGUCCGUCGUGAAGAGGGAAACAACCCAGACCGCCAGCUAAGGUCCCAAAGUCAUGGUUAAGUGGGAAACGAUGUGGGAAGGCCCAGACAGCCAGGAUGUUGGCUUAGAAGCAGCCAUCAUUUAAAGAAAGCGUAAUAGCUCACUGGUCGAGUCGGCCUGCGCGGAAGAUGUAACGGGGCUAAACCAUGCACCGAAGCUGCGGCAGCGACACUAUGUGUUGUUGGGUAGGGGAGCGUUCUGUAAGCCGUUGAAGGUGGCCUGUGAGGGUUGCUGGAGGUAUCAGAAGUGCGAAUGCUGACAUAAGUAACGAUAAUGCGGGUGAAAAACCCGCACGCCGGAAGACCAAGGGUUCCUGUCCAACGUUAAUCGGGGCAGGGUGAGUCGACCCCUAAGGCGAGGCCGAAAGGCGUAGUCGAUGGGAAACAGGUUAAUAUUCCUGUACUCGGUGUUACUGCGAAGGGGGGACGGAGAAGGCUAUGUUGGCCGGGCGACGGUUGUCCCGGUUUAAGCAUGUAGGCGGAUGUUCCAGGUAAAUCCGGAACGUCACUAACGCUGAGGUGUGAUGACGAGGCACUACGGUGCUGAAGUGACAAAUGCCCUGCUUCCAGGAAAAGCCUCUAAGCAUCAGGUAACAUCAAAUCGUACCCCAAACCGACACAGGUGGUCAGGUAGAGAAUACCAAGGCGCUUGAGAGAACUCGGGUGAAGGAACUAGGCAAAAUGGUGCCGUAACUUCGGGAGAAGGCACGCUGAUGGUAGGUGAAGUGACUUGCUCAUGGAGCUGAAAUCAGUCGAAGAUACCAGCUGGCUGCAACUGUUUAUUAAAAACACAGCACUGUGCAAACACGAAAGUGGACGUAUACGGUGUGACGCCUGCCCGGUGCCGGAAGGUUAAUUGAUGGGGUUAUCCGUAAGGAGAAGCUCUUGAUCGAAGCCCCGGUAAACGGCGGCCGUAACUAUAACGGUCCUAAGGUAGCGAAAUUCCUUGUCGGGUAAGUUCCGACCUGCACGAAUGGCGUAAUGAUGGCCAGGCUGUCUCCACCCGAGACUCAGUGAAAUUGAACUCGCUGUGAAGAUGCAGUGUACCCGCGGCAAGACGGAAAGACCCCGUGAACCUUUACUAUAGCUUGACACUGAACACUGGUCCUUGAUGUGUAGGAUAGGUGGGAGGCUUUGAAGUGUGGACGCCAGUCUGCAUGGAGCCAUCCUUGAAAUACCACCCUUUAAUGGCUGGUGUUCUAACGUGGGCCCCUAAUCGGGGUUGCGGACAGUGUCUGGUGGGUAGUUUGACUGGGGCGGUCUCCUCCUAAAGAGUAACGGAGGAGCACGAAGGUCAGCUAAUCCUGGUCGGACAUCAGGAGGUUAGUGCAAUGGCAUAAGCUGGCUUGACUGCGAGCGUGACGGCGCGAGCAGGUGCGAAAGCAGGUCAUAGUGAUCCGGUGGUUCUGAAUGGAAGGGCCAUCGCUCAACGGAUAAAAGGUACUCCGGGGAUAACAGGCUGAUACCGCCCAAGAGUUCAUAUCGACGGCGGUGUUUGGCACCUCGAUGUCGGCUCAUCACAUCCUGGGGCUGAAGUAGGUCCCAAGGGUAUGGCUGUUCGCCAUUUAAAGUGGUACGCGAGCUGGGUUUAGAACGUCGUGAGACAGUUCGGUCCCUAUCUGCCGUGGGCGCUGGAGAAUUGAGGGGGGCUGCUCCUAGUACGAGAGGACCGGAGUGGACGCAUCACUGGUGUUCGGGUUGUCAUGCCAAUGGCAUUGCCCGGUAGCUAAAUGCGGAAGAGAUAAGUGCUGAAAGCAUCUAAGCACGAAACUUGCCCCGAGAUGAGUUCUCCCUGACCCUUUAAGGGUCCUGAAGGAACGUUGAAGACGACGACGUUGAUAGGCCGGGUGUGUAAGCGCAGCGAUGCGUUGAGCUAACCGGUACUAAUGAACCGUGAGGCUUAACCUU
rnacentral:rRNA from 1 species